rnacentral:rRNA from 1 species
GUGCCAGCAGCCGCGGUAAUACGUAAGGGCGGCCAAGCGUUAUCCGGAAUUAUUGGGCGUAAAGAGCUCGUAGGCGGUUUGUCGCGUCUGCUGUGAAAUCCCGAGGCUCAACCUCGGGCCUGCAGUGGGUACGGGCAGACUAGAGUGCGGUAGGGGAGAUUGGAAUUCCUGGUGUAGCGGUGGAAUGCGCAGAUAUCAGGAGGAACACCGAUGGCGAAGGCAGAUCUCUGGGCCGUAACUGACGCUGAGGAGCGAAAGGGUGGGGAGCAAACAGGCUUAGAUACCCUGGUAGUCC